GAUGAACGCUAGCGGCAGGCUUAACACAUGCAAGUCGAGGGGCAGCGCGAUGUAGCAAUACAUUGGCGGCGACCGGCGCACGGGUGCGUAACACGUAUGGAACUUACCCUUUACUGGGAGAUAGCCCGGAGAAAUCCGGAUUAAUAUCCCAUAAUAAACGAAGUGGCAUCACUUUGUUUGAAAGCUCCGGCGGUAAAGGAUGGCCAUGCGCACGAUUAGCUAGUAGGUGAGGUAACGGCUCACCUAGGCUACGAUCGUUAGGGGGCCUGAGAGGGUUAUCCCCCACACUGGUACUGAGACACGGACCAGACUCCUACGGGAGGCAGCAGUGAGGAAUAUUGCGCAAUGGAGGCAACUCUGACGCAGCCAUGCCGCGUGCAGGAAGAAGGCGCUACGCGUUGUAAACUGCUUUUAACCGGGAAGAAACCCUCCGACGUGUCGGAGGUUGACGGUACCGGAGGAAUAAGCACCGGCUAACUCCGUGCCAGCAGCCGCGGU
rnacentral:rRNA from 1 species